AAUCAAAGAAUCUUCCCGUUGAACCAGAGCCUUCGCGACGCUUCAAUUUAUUAUUUACUGUCGAAGGAUCUGGAAUCCAGGGUAGCAGAUUUCCUGAAUUUUCCUUAAUCCUGAAUUUUUCCUUUUCGAUAGUAAAAUUUCCUGCAAUCAGGUAAAUUUCCUACAAUGUGGAAUCACUAAUUGGAACUGGCUAUUUUCACGGCUAUUUUGCAGGUUUCAUAUCUUUGAAUUUAAAUUCUGAAUAUCUUCCCAAGGAGUAUCUUUUCAAUACCGAAUUCCUCCAAGUCAAUCGAGUAAAAUACUCCUUGUAUUCAAGCGCUUUCGAAUUCAUGUAGAAAGUUAUGUCUGAAUACUGUUAUACGUAGUCGGAGAGUACAAAUAUUUAUUUUGAUAUUUUCAAAAUAUCGGGUUUUCACUCGCACGCGCGUGAAUAAAGAUGAAA